UGAGAGAACCAUGUCGAAGGAACUCGACAAAAUGAUCCCGUAACUUAGAGAUAAGGAGUGCUCUCUUAUCUUUUGAUUAGGAAAGCGACACAUACCAGGGGGUAGUGACUGUUUAUUAAAAACACAAGACUCUGCUAAGUGGUAACUCGAUGUAUAGAGUCUGACACCUGACAGGUGCUGGAAGGUCGGAAGGAGAAGUCUGAUAAGCUUUGAAUGGAAUCCUCGGUAAACGUAAGUAGUAACUCUAACUGUCCUAAGGUAGCGAAAAUCAUAAGUAGCGACCUGCACGCAUGGUGUAAUGACUGCCCCGCUGUCUCCGACAUGGACCCGGUGAAAUUGAGUUCUCCGUGAAGAUACUAAAUACCAACUGCUAGACAGUAAGACCCCGUGCACCUUGACUAUAGCUUCACAGUGACAACCUUGAUCGAAUGUGUAGGAUAGGUGGGAGGUGGUGACACAGAUCUCCCAAUCCUGAAAGACCACUCUUUCAUCUAAGGAUGCCUAACUGUCGCAUCGAUCAUUCAUGGGGGGGGGGGGGCAGGACACUGUGAGGUGGGUAGUUUAUCUAGGGUGGAUGCCUCCUAAAGAGUAACGGUGGUGUACGAAGUUAGGCUCAAGCUAAGAUUAUGCUCGUGAGCGUAAUGGUAUAAGCCUACCUGACUAUGAGACUGACUGGUUGAACAAAGACGAAUGUCAGUCAUAGUGAUCUAAGAGUCCCGUGUGGAAGGGCUCUCGCUCAACAGAUCAAAGGUACGUCGCGGAUAACAGGCUUAUGACUCCCAAGAGCUCUUAUCGACGGAGUCGUUUGGCACCUUGAUGUUGACUCAUCACAUCAUGGGGUUGAAGAAGGUCCCAAGAGUUCGGUUCCUAUCUACUUUUGGUGUUAAAGGGUGAACUACGAGGAGCCAACCCUAGUACGAGAAGACUGGGUUGGGCCAACCUAUGGUGAACCGGUUGUUAUGCCAAUAGCAGCUUCAGGCAACUAAGUUGGAAUGGAAGAACUGUUGUGCCGCAUCUGAGCUGAGCUAUAGACUCACUCUCAAAGCAACGAGAGGAGUUUACGUCAGUUUAAUCACUCGUUGUUUUAAACGUUGGAAGUCCUUCUCUAAUCAAGUCCUUGUACAAGGUUUUUUAACAGAACUUCGAUAAGCGAAAGGUGUAAGCACCACGAGGUGU
rnacentral:rRNA from 1 species